GUGAGUAACCUGCCCUUGACUCUGGGAUAAGCGCUAGAAAUGGCGUCUAAUACCGGAUACGAGCUUCAGCCGCAUGGCUAGGAGUUGGAAAGAAUUUUGGUCAAGGAUGGACUCGCGGCCUAUCAGCUAGUUGGUGAGGUAAUGGCUCACCAAGGCGACGACGGGUAGCCGGCCUGAGAGGGUGACCGGCCACACUGGGACUGAGACACGGCCCAGACUCCUACGGGAGGCAGCAGUGGGGAAUAUUGCACAAUGGGCGAAGCCUGAUGCAGCAACGCCGCGUGAGGGAUGACGGCCUUCGGGUUGUAAACCUCUUUUUAUAGGGAAGAACGAAAAGUGACGGUACCUGCAAAAAAAGCACCGGCUUAACUACGUGCCAGCAGCCGCGGUAAUACGUAGGGUGCAAGCGUUGUCC
rnacentral:rRNA from 1 species